AAGAGGGGGACCUUCGGGCCUCUUGCCAUCGGAUGUGCCCAGAUGGGAUUAGCUUGUUGGUGGGGUAACGGCUCACCUAGGCGACGAUCCCUAGCUGGUCUGAGAGGAUGACCAGCCACACUGGAACUGAGACACGGUCCAGACUCCUACGGGAGGCAGCAGUGGGGAAUAUUGCACAAUGGGCGCAAGCCUGAUGCAGCCAUGCCGCGUGUAUGAAGAAGGCCUUCGGGUUGUAAAGUACUUUCAGCGGGGAGGAAGGGAGUAAAGUUAAUACCUUUGCUCAUUGACGUUACCCGCAAAAAAAGCACCGGCUAACUCCGUGCCACCAGCCGCGGUAAUACGGAGGGUGCAAAGCGUUAAUCGGAAUUACUGGGCGUAAAGCGCACGCAGGCGGUUUGUUAAGUCAGAUGUGAAAUCCCCGGGCUCAACCUGGGAACUGCAUCUGAUACUGGCAAGCUUGAGUCUCGUAGAGGGGGGUAGAAUUCCAGGUGUAGCGGUGAAAUGCGUAGAGAUCUGGAGGAAUACCGGUGGCGAAGGCGGCCCCCUGGACGAAGACUGACGCUCAGGUGCGAAAGCGUGGGGAGCAAACAGGAUUAGAUACCCUGGUAGUCCACGCCGUAAACGAUGUCGACUUGGAGUGUGCCCUUGAGGCGUGGCUUCCGGAGCUAACGCGUUAGUCGACCGCCUGGGGGAGUACGGCCGCAAGGUUAAAACUCAAAUGAAUUGACGGGGGCCCGCACAGCGGUGGAGCAUGUGGUUUAUUUCGAUGCAACGCGAGAUCUUACUGGUCUGACAUCACGGAAGUUUCAGAGAUGAGAAUGUGCUCGGACGUGAAGACAG
rnacentral:rRNA from 1 species